rnacentral:hammerhead_ribozyme from 1 species
AUCCAGCUUCGGAAUCCCAAAUAAGACGAAACGCGCGUCCUGGAU